GAAGCACGCCAGACCGUCGCUGGUGCAAGCCGCAAGGCCCAGGCCGAAAGGCAUGGGGUGGAAACACCGCACUGGAGGAACGUCCGGACUGCACAGGACAGCGCAGGAGGUAACACCUCUCCACCGUGAGGUGAGGAUCAGAGCAACAGAGACGAGUCGCAGCGGGCAACCGCUGCGGGUGAAACGGGCAAUCUCUGCGCGCAGCAAUACCAAGUAGGCCAGCGUUGAUGUGGUUCCGCAGAGUUGGCGGGUAGGUAGCACCGAGCCGUGUGGGUGACCCACGGCCCAGAUUAAUGGCGGUCACAUGGGGGCAACCCCAUGCACAGAAUCCGGCGUAUCGGCGGGCUUCACAC
rnacentral:RNase_P_RNA from 1 species